GUAGCAACCUUCCUUUUGUUAAUGUAAAAUCAAUUUAUCUGAGAUUGAGUAAUAUAAUGUGAGAAAAUUAAAAUAAUUCACCUUGGAAAUGGAAAAAAUAUUGUUUUCGAUGAUAUUGGAUUCGUCUUCGACUAUCCUGUGUGUAGUAAAACUUGUCUAUUUGGAAAAUCGGGUAAAUUGGUUAAAUAGAUUUCAAGAUAUAUCCGUAAAUGGAACGUUAAGGGGAGAAAAAAAAAAGAAGUGGUUAACGACGCCGACGCACCUGUUGAUGCAUAAAAUAUUUAUUUCCCCGAAUUGAGGUCGCGAAACUCGUCCGGAUGAACUUUCCAAUAAUCGUUAUAAAAUAAUAUAAGAAUUUAAAGCAAUAAUCCAAUUUUUACGUAUUAAAGUUUAAUUAAAUUAAUCAAAAUAGACGUGAAGUAUCGAAAUUUCCAAAAAAAAAAAAAUCGGUACGUCAACAAAAUACAGAUUAAUCUACGUCGCGCGAGCUAAAUCUCUAGAAACCGCGUAGCUUCGAGGCAGAUUCGCGAUUCCAAACGCCUCGCGAUUCGAAUGGAACAAUAAAUAAGUAGAAGGUGUUGGGUUUUUCUCAAAAUCAGGUAUAUUGGGGAGGAUUAAGUUAAUUGUGUGAUAUUUGGAUAAACAUUCGGUAAAUUCGGCCAUGAAAUAUAAUUUUAGCCAAAA